CACCAGACUCCUACGGGAGGCAGCAGUGGGGAAUAUUGCACAAUGGGGGAAACCCUGAUGCAGCGACGCCGCGUGAGUGAAGAAGUAAUUCGUUAUGUAAAGCUCUAUCAGCAGGGAAGAAAAUGACGGUACCUGAGUAAGAAGCCCCGGCUAACUACGUGCCAGCAGCCGCGGUAAUACGUAGGGGGCAAGCGUUAUCCGGAUUUACUGGGUGUAAAGGGAGCGUAGACGGCAGUGCAAGUCUGGAGUGAAAGGCGGGGGCUCAACCCCCGGACUGCUCUGGAAACUGUACGGCUGGAGUGCAGGAGAGGUAAGUGGAAUUCCUAGUGUAGCGGUGAAAUGCGUAGAUAUUAGGAGGAACACCGGUGGCGAAGGCGGCCUGCUGGACUGUGACUGACGUUGAGGCCCGAAGGCGUGGGGAGCAAGCAGGAUUAGAUACCCCCGUAA
rnacentral:rRNA from 1 species